UUUCAUCUGAAAAAUGGGACGUUAUUCUCUUAAUAAUAUUUAUUUAAUACUAGUUAAUUUAUAUACUAUAUGAAAAUCUUAGAAUUUAAUCUACAAAAUGUUUAAAAUCUCCAAAAUAUUCUUUUUUGUAGUACAUGACUUCAAUCUUGAAAAUAUGAUUCUUU